UUUAUUUUUUAAUCCCUGGAAGUCUUGUCUGUGAACAUACAUCUCAUCUCAACUCAACUCAAUGGCUCCUUCUCUUCGCCCAAACUUUUCUGCUACAACUCCCCAUUUUUUAAACAUGAUCAUAGACAAGAAUUCCAGAGACCAAAAACUUGU
rnacentral:pre_miRNA from 1 species